rfam:Colletotrichum sublineola strain TX430BB Scaffolds1480.1, whole genome shotgun sequence.
GGGCGCUUGGUCUAGGGGUAUGAUUUUCGCUUCGCACUCCCGUUCAAUCAGGAAGUACCUUGUGAAAGGUCGUGGGUUCAAUUCCCACAGUGUCCA